GGAUACCCUGGGAAACUGGGGAUAAUACCGGAUAGGCAAUUAUUCCUGCAAUGGCUUUUUGUUUAAAUGUUUUUUCGCCUAAGGAUGGGUCUGCGGCCGAUUAGGUAGUUGGUUAGGUAAUGGCUUACCAAGCCGUUGAUCGGUACGGGUUGUGAGAGCAAGAGCCCGGAGAUGGAACCUGAGACAAGGUUCCAGGCCCUACGGGGUGCAGCAGGCGCGAAACCUCCGCAAUGUGAGAAAUCGCGACGGGGGGAUCCCAAGUGCCAUUCCUAACGGGAUGGCUUUUCAUUAGUGUAAAAAGCUUUUGGAAUAAGAGCUGGGCAAGACCGGUGCCAGCCGCCGCGGUAACACCGGCAGCUCUAGUGGUAGCAAUUUUUAUUGGGCCUAAAGCGUCCGUAGCCGGUUUAAUAAGUCUCUGGUGAAAUCCUGUAGCUUAACUGUGGGAAUUGCUGGAGAUACUAUUAGACUUGAGACCGGGAGAGGUUAGAGGUACUCCCAGGGUAGAGGUGAAAUUCUGUAAUCCUG
rnacentral:rRNA from 1 species